CCUACGGGAGGCAGCAGUGAGGAAUAUUGGUCAAUGGGCUUACGCCUGAACCAGCCAAGUCGCGUGAGGGAAGAAUGCCCUAUGGGUUGUAAACCUCUUUUGUCAGGGAGCAACGCCGGCUACGUGUAGCCGGACUGAGAGUACCUGAAGAAAAAGCAUCGGCUAACUCCGUGCCAGCAGCCGCGGUAAUACGUAGGUGGCAAGCGUUAUCCGGAUUUAUUGGGUGUAAAGGGCGUGUAGGCGGGAAAGCAAGUCAGAGGUGAAAACUCGGGGCUCAACCCUGAGCCUGCCUUUGAAACUGGUUGUCUUGAGUUCGGGAGAGGCAAUCGGAAUGCGGGGUGUAGCGGUGAAAUGCGUAGAUAUACGGAGGAACACCAGUGGCGAAGGCGGAUUGCUGGACAGUAACUGACGCUGAGGCGCGAAAGCGUGGGGAGCAAACAGGAUUAGAUACCCUUGUAGUC
rnacentral:rRNA from 1 species